AAUCCAUAGGUUAAUGAGGCGAACCGGGGGAACUGAAACAUCUAAGUACCCCGAGGAAAAGAAAUCAACCGAGAUUCCCCCAGUAGCGGCGAGCGAACGGGGAGGAGCCCAGAGCCUGAAUCAGCAUGUGUGUUAGUGGAAGCGUCUGGAAAGGCGCGCGAUACAGGGUGACAGCCCCGUACACAAAAGCGCAUGUGCUGUGAGCUCGAUGAGUAGGGCGGGACACGUGGUAUCCUGUCUGAAUAUGGGGGGACCAUCCUCCAAGGCUAAAUACUCCUGACUGACCGAUAGUGAACCAGUACCGUGAGGGAAAGGCGAAAAGAACCCCGGCGAGGGGAGUGAAAAAGAACCUGAAACCGUGUACGUACAAGCAGUGGGAGCACCCUUUGGGUGUGACUGCGUACCUUUUGUAUAAUGGGUCAGCGACUUAUAUUCUGUAGCAAGGUUAACCGAAUAGGGGAGCCGGAGGGAAACCGAGUCUUAAUUGGGCGUUAAGUUGCAGGGUAUAGACCCGAAACCCGGUGAUCUAGCCAUGGGCAGGUUGAAGGUUGGGUAACACUAACUGGAGGACCGAACCGACUAAUGUUGAAAAAUUAGCGGAUGACCUGUGGCUGGGGGUGAAAGGCCAAUCAAACCGGGAGAUAGCUGGUUCUCCCCGAAAGCUAUUUAGGUAGCGCCUCGUGAAUUCAUCUCCGGGGGUAGAGCACUGUUUCGGCUAGGGGGCCAUCCCGGCUUACCAACCCGAUGCAAACUGCGAAUACCGGAGAAUGUUAUCACGGGAGACACACGGCGGGUGCUAACGUCCGUCGUGAAGAGGGAAACAACCCAGACCGCCAGCUAAGGUCCCAAAGUCAUGGUUAAGUGGGAAACGAUGUGGGAAGGCCCAGACAGCCAGGAUGUUGGCUUAGAAGCAGCCAUCAUUUAAAGAAAGCGUAAUAGCUCACUGGUCGAGUCGGCCUGCGCGGAAGAUGUAACGGGGCUAAACCAUGCACCGAAGCUGCGGCAGCGACACUGUGUGUUGUUGGGUAGGGGAGCGUUCUGUAAGCCUGCGAAGGUGGCCUGUGAGGGUUGCUGGAGGUAUCAGAAGUGCGAAUGCUGACAUAAGUAACGAUAAAGCGGGUGAAAAGCCCGCUCGCCGGAAGACCAAGGGUUCCUGUCCAACGUUAAUCGGGGCAGGGUGAGUCGACCCCUAAGGCGAGGCCGAAAGGCGUAGUCGAUGGGAAACGGGUUAAUAUUCCCGUACUUGGUGUUACUGCGAAGGGGGGACGGAGAAGGCUAUGUUGGCCGGGCGACGGUUGUCCCGGUUUAAGCGUGUAGGUGUGUGUUCCAGGUAAAUCCGGUUCACUUUAACACUGAGGCGUGACGACGAGGCACUACGGUGCUGAAGCAACAAAUGCCCUGCUUCCAGGAAAAGCCUCUAAGCAUCAGGUAACAUCAAAUCGUACCCCAAACCGACACAGGUGGUCAGGUAGAGAAUACCAAGGCGCUUGAGAGAACUCGGGUGAAGGAACUAGGCAAAAUGGUGCCGUAACUUCGGGAGAAGGCACGCUGACACGUAGGUGAAGUGAUUUACUCAUGGAGCUGAAGUCAGUCGAAGAUACCAGCUGGCUGCAACUGUUUAUUAAAAACACAGCACUGUGCAAACACGAAAGUGGACGUAUACGGUGUGACGCCUGCCCGGUGCCGGAAGGUUAAUUGAUGGGGUCAGCGCAAGCGAAGCUCCUGAUCGAAGCCCCGGUAAACGGCGGCCGUAACUAUAACGGUCCUAAGGUAGCGAAAUUCCUUGUCGGGUAAGUUCCGACCUGCACGAAUGGCGUAAUGAUGGCCAGGCUGUCUCCACCCGAGACUCAGUGAAAUUGAACUCGCUGUGAAGAUGCAGUGUACCCGCGGCAAGACGGAAAGACCCCGUGAACCUUUACUAUAGCUUGACACUGAACAUUGAGCCUUGAUGUGUAGGAUAGGUGGGAGGCUUUGAAGUGUGGACGCCAGUCUGCAUGGAGCCGACCUUGAAAUACCACCCUUUAAUGUUUGAUGUUCUAACGUGGACCCGUUACCCGGGUUGCGGACAGUGUCUGGUGGGUAGUUUGACUGGGGCGGUCUCCUCCUAAAGAGUAACGGAGGAGCACGAAGGUUGGCUAAUCCUGGUCGGACAUCAGGAGGUUAGUGCAAUGGCAUAAGCCAGCUUGACUGCGAGCGUGACGGCGCGAGCAGGUGCGAAAGCAGGUCAUAGUGAUCCGGUGGUUCUGAAUGGAAGGGCCAUCGCUCAACGGAUAAAAGGUACUCCGGGGAUAACAGGCUGAUACCGCCCAAGAGUUCAUAUCGACGGCGGUGUUUGGCACCUCGAUGUCGGCUCAUCACAUCCUGGGGCUGAAGUAGGUCCCAAGGGUAUGGCUGUUCGCCAUUUAAAGUGGUACGCGAGCUGGGUUUAGAACGUCGUGAGACAGUUCGGUCCCUAUCUGCCGUGGGCGCUGGAGAACUGAGGGGGGCUGCUCCUAGUACGAGAGGACCGGAGUGGACGCAUCACUGGUGUUCGGGUUGUCAUGCCAAUGGCACUGCCCGGUAGCUAAAUGCGGAAGAGAUAAGUGCUGAAAGCAUCUAAGCACGAAACUUGCCCCGAGAUGAGUUCUCCCUGAGACUUA
rnacentral:rRNA from 1 species